GGCGUAAAGGGCGUGUAGGCGGUCUUUCAAGUCCGAUGCUAAAGACUGGGGCUCAACCCCAGGGGUGCGUUGGAUACUGUGAGGCUAGACGGUCGGAGGGGGUAGCGGAAUUUCCGGAGUAGCGGUGAAAUGCGCAGAUACCGGAAGGAACGCCAAUAGCGAAGGCAGCUACCUGGACGACUUGUGACGCUGAGGCGCGAAAGCGUGGGGAGCAAACCGGAUUAGAUACCCGGGUAGUCCACGCCCUAAACCAUGAGUGCUGGGUGUCCGGCUUCUGCUGGGUGCCGUAGCUAACGCGCUAAGCACUCCGCCUGGGAAGUACGCACGCAAGUGUGAAACUCAAAGGAAUUGACGGGGGCCCGCACAAGCGGUGGAGCAUGUGGUUUAAUUCGAAGCGACGCGAAGAACCUUACCAGGCCUUGACAUGCCCGGAACCCCUCUGAAAGGAGGGGGUGCCCGCAAGGGAGCCGGGACACAGGUGCUGCAUGGCCGUCGUCAGCUCGUGUCGUGAGAUGUUGGGUUAAGUCCCGCAACGAGCGCAACCCCUAUCCCUAGUUGCCAGCAGUUCGGCUGGGCACUCUAUGGAGACUGCCUGCGAAAGCAGGAGGAAGGCGGGGAUGACGUCUGGUCCGCAUGGCCCUUACGGCCUGGGCGACACACGUGCUACAAUGCCAAGGACAGAGCGCUGCUACCUCGCGAGAGGACGCCAAUCGCAAAAACCUUGGCUCAGUUCGGAUUGGAGUCUGCAACUCGACUCCAUGAAGCCGGAAUCGCUAGUAAUC
rnacentral:rRNA from 1 species